UUGGUAAUUGUAUAUAUUUAAUCUUUACCUUCUUUUUACGUUUUAUUAUUCUUUGGUUGUGAAAUAAAGGUUUUAUGCUUGUUGACCACGCACGUUUCUAAUAAGUGGAAAGAUGGUUAUUCAUGGUCCAAAGUAGUGGGGUGUUUGUUCAUAUUUUUCAGGACCCAUGAUCUUAAUUUCAACCAACAUUCAAGACUAGUAGACUAGCAGUUUUUGGAGGUGGAUUGUAGCAGUUAUAAGAACGUUCUAGAAGUGGGAAGUGGAUGAAACUAACCACGACAUGAAGGACUAUAAAAGAAGCAAGACGCCUCAUUCAUUCUUAGGUUUUGGGAGUGAUUUUUCACCGACCUAACAUUCGCUUACAACCAACUCGUCAUUUUGUCUUGCUGCAAACAUGACAACAGUUCUUCAAACCUUGCUUUGACGGAAGAGUCUUAGGCAGUCAAUCUGUAAAGACUUACUCUGUAUUGACGGGAGGUCAAAGGUAAGGGUUAAGAUCGAGGACAUUGGAGCGUAGCAGACUGUUUUGUCCGAGUUAUUCGGCUAUGUUGUUUCAACAUUUCUGCUGCAAACGUGAUACCUAUUCUUCAAGGAUGGCUUUGACGAAUGGAGCUUAGGCAGCUAAUCUGUAAAGUCUCACUUUGUAUUGACAGGGAGGUCAAGGGCAAGAAUUGAAGUACAAGACCAUUGGAGCAUAGCAGUAUGUUUUGGUUCUGUGUUGAUUCGACAUUCUAGUACAGUGAGUAGAUAGGUAGAUUUAUCUUAGGCAGCCAAUCUGUAAAGAUAGAUCUCCAAGAGAUCUCAAAUCUGUACUUUGAAUUAUUGAUGAUCAUAGUGUUUUUAGCCUUGAGGCACUCGCGGAUUAUAUUUAUAUAAUCCGUAAAAGGGU
rnacentral:lncRNA from 1 species